rnacentral:rRNA from 1 species
GAUGAACGCUGGCGGAAUGCUUUACACAUGCAAGUCGAACGGCAGCACGGACUUCGGUCUGGUGGCGAGUGGCGAACGGGUGAGUAAUGUAUCGGAACGUGCCCAGUCGUGGGGGAUAACGUAGUGAAAAUUACGCUAAUACCGCAUACGAUCUAUGGAUGAAAGCGGGGGAUCGCAAGACCUCGCGCGAUUGGAGCGGCCGAUAUCAGAUUAGGUAGUUGGUGGGGUAAAGGCCCACCAAGCCAACGAUCUGUAGCUGGUCUGAGAGGACGACCAGCCACACUGGAACUGAGACACGGUCCAGACUCCUACGGGAGGCAGCAGUGGGGAAUUUUGGACAAUGGGCGAAAGCCUGAUCCAGCCAUUCCGCGUGCAGGAUGAAGGCCCUCGGGUUGUAAACUGCUUUUGUACAGAACGAAAAGGUUUCUACUAAUACUAGGAGCUCAUGACGGUACUGUAAGAAUAAGCACCGGCUAACUACGUGCCAGCAGCCGCAGUAACAC